rnacentral:rRNA from 1 species
AACGCGAAGAACCUUACCUGGGUUUGACAUAUAGGGAAAUCUAGUCAGAGAUGCGGGGUCCGUAAGGGUCCUAUACAGGUGGUGCAUGGCUGUCGUCAGCUCGUGUCGUGAGAUGUUGGGUUAAGUCCCGCAACGAGCGCAACCCUCGUCCUAUGUUGCCAGCACGUUAUGGUGGGGACUCAUAGGAGACUGCCGGGGUCAACUCGGAGGAAGGUGGGGAUGACGUCAAGUCAUCAUGCCCCUUAUGUCCAGGGCUUCACGCAUGCUACAAUGGCCGGUACAAAGGGCUGCGAAACUGCAAAGUGGAGCGAAUCCCAAAAAGCCGGUCUCAGUUCGGAUUGGGGUCUGCAACUCGACCCCAUGAAGUCGGAGUCGCUAGUAAUCGCAGAUCAGCAACGCUGCGGUGAAUACGUUCCCGGGCCUUGUACACACCG